rnacentral:tRNA from 1 species
GGGCUUGUGGCGAAACUGGCAGACGCGCCCUACUUAAGAUGGGGUGCCCCGAGAGGGGCGUGUGGGUUCAAAUCCCACCUUGCCCACCA